rnacentral:lncRNA from 1 species
AGUCCUGUUUGUGAGUUGAGAUGGGGGCUUCCGUGGUGAGCAGUGUUGUGGUCCUCUAAGAGGGCGUGACCUGGGGCAAGACUGCUUUGUGUGUCCUAGUGAUCUGGCAGAAGAAACGGGGAGCUAAAUGAAAAUAGCUCCUUAUCAUGAAAUAGCUCCUCGUAAAAUGGGACUGUGACUGCUCCUUUCAGGUUCCUACUCCUGUGGUUAUUUUGUUACAUGCAUUUAUAAAACAAAGUUAAUGUUCCCAGUGCUGCUGUUUAAAGAGAAGCACAACUAAUGGAAGCUUGAAAUGAUGUUUUGAAAUGCAGUGGGAAUGUUGGAUUAAUAACCUUGUGACCUCUAUCACUGAAAUGCAUUCCUGUGUUUGGCAGAAAAGAAAAAGAAAGGAGAUGAACAGUUCAGAGAGUGACAGGAAACCACAGUGCUUUCUGGAGCCUCAAUUUCAGUGAUUUUUUUUUUUUUCUUUUUAAUAAGCAUUGUUUUUCCCUUCAUGUGGAACAGUGGGUGACCAUAUCCCAGUGAAGAUUUGUUAGCAGGCCAAGAUCAAGGUAGCUCAGAUAUUUGGGUGACUGCAUUUCUUCCCAUUUUAGCUGGUCUUGGUGUCAAGUUUGUUCUGAGGCAGUGUGACUAAUGAGAAACCUCUGGGGUCAGAUCUUGGGAAAACUUCACUCAUCAGCUGCAGGCAGUGGAUAAGCCUCAUGUGGGUGCAUUACUGCUGGUUUCUCUGGUUUGGGGGGCAAAAUUAUCUUUUCCUGGAGCUUGAGCUUAGAAAUGUCUGUGCUAUGAUCUUCCAUUCUCACUUGGGCCUUCAUUUAGCUAGGAAGAGGGGAGAUUGAUGCUGGUGUUCCUUAUCUGGGCCAGUCAAAUGCAAAACUUUACCAAGCGGUGGAGAUACUUUCCUAGCUGUAAUGCAGCUUCAGGAAUCCUCCACUGUUCAUAAAGUAUGUGCUAAUGUAGCAUUCAGGAUGCUCUGAGGUUUUGCUUUAGUCCCUAAAUAGCAUGGUCUGGAUGGAGCUCACUGUAGCAGUCCUUCCAGGGUCGUAGGCUCGCAUCCUCCUUGGCACUGGUAGGUCAGUUCAGAAGGAGCACUCAGUCUAGAGUAAUUCACAUCCCACUGAAUGUGCUUUUUUAGCUUUUUGUCCUUUACACAGAGACGUGGAACCAUGCCACCUUCUGAAUGAUGACUCUUGCUUUGUCUAAAUGAUAGAAGUUUUUAAAAGCAAUUGUACAGCUGCACCUCCAUUGAAGGCAUUUUAGAAACAAUGAGGUUUCUGUUUUCCUUUCUUUUGUAAAAGUUAUUGUUGUAUUACCCUCAUGUUUGCUCAGCAUCCCGUCUGUCAG